ACAAACGUGUACAGGUGUGUGCGGGUCCGGCCCAAUAAUGUGUCGGUGACAUCCCCUGGAGUGCAGGUAAGUGAUAUGGUGGGUACUUGGGCCCAUUAUGCUUCAUGAGGGAGGGGCUUAUUCUGCUCUGACCUCUCUGCCUUCCCCAGCUGACCAUAGCCAUGCACAAAGUGCCAGACAUUAGUGCAGGUGUGAGCUGUUCAUUUGAGGAGGUGACUAAAAGUGAGGCUAUUCUGCUGUCCUCUGGAGAGCUGCGUUGCCCUUCACAUCCCUCCAGGGUCCACGCAUACUGUGCAGCUGCAGCUGCUCUCCAUGGAGACCGGUGUGAGGUUUGCUGGGGUUGACUUUGUCUUCUACAACUGCAGUGCCCUCCAGUCAUGAGUACCAGGUCCAGAAUCUGUCCCUAGGCCUGGGGAUGGAUAGGUGCUCUGGGAUAUAUAAUUCUUGCAGUGUGGUUGCCUCUAGGACUUUCGGGAUGAAUUUGUCCCCACAUCUGUCCAAUCCUGAUGUGCACUGUGUGACUUACGCAGGUUCUGCCUAUCCUCUUCAUUUGUUCCCCGGUGCAUUUUGUGGGAGGGUGAGAACAGGGUGGUGUAACCUUCUCUGUUAUUUCUGAAGCCACUUCCCUCUCCAGGUUUAUGUCCUGUGUUGGCAGUCCUUACCCCUGCCACUUCUGUAAGUACCGCCAUAUGUGUACCAGCCACCCACAGGAGUGCUCCUUUCAGGAGGGCAGGGUCCACAGCCCUGAGGUGAGGUGGUGCAGUGCGCUGCAAAAGAUUGGGCUCCUUGGCUGGCCUCUCACUUCUUUGUUUGUUCUACCAUUUCCUUGGGCCUGGAGAAAGGUGGGUAGCUCAGCAUGCUCUGACUGCUGUUCUCCCAGGGAUGCCCUGAGAUCCUGCCUCGAGGAGACCUCUUGAUCCCUGUGGGCAUCAUGCAGCCUCUAACCCUGCAGGCUAAGAAUCUUCCACAACCUCAGUCAGGCCAGAAGAAUUAUGACUGUAGUCUGUGCACAGGGGUGACUGCCUCAGUUACCUGCAGUGCGCUUUACCAGCAGCAGUGUGCAGUGCCAGAAUGCUUUGGUGAGGUCCAGGUUGGGUCAGCCAAGGACAAUUGUUUUGUUGUUUUUAUUGUUGUUGUCAGUGGUGGUGGUUUGUUGGUUUGUUUGUGUUUUUUUUUUUUUUGGUGUCUUCUCAGCUUACUGAUCUGGAAGCCUCUGGUUGAUCUGGUUGAUCCAGGCAGGCACUUUAUAGUCUUUUUUUUUUUUUAAAUCGGGGAUUACUAAAUUGGGCAAGGAUUUUGCUUACCUUACUUAUACUCCUGUGGUUCCAUUUUUCUUAGUAUUUCUAUGAAGGUGAUGAGUUUGGUGACACCUACCUGAACUUCUCUGUGGUCUGGGAUAGAGAUUUCCCCAUUGAUAAGCCUCGCAGCUUCCAAGAUCCACCCACUCACAGGACCCAAGGAAGGUGGCACCCAGGUCACCAUUGUGAGUGAAAACUUGGGCCUCACUUUCCAUGAGGUUGGCCUGCAAGUAGCUGGUGUACGUUGUAACUCCAUCCCCACCAAAUAUGUUAGGGCUGAAAGGAUUGUAUCUGAGAUGGAGGAAUCACUGGUGCCCAGCCCACCACAUGAUCCUGUUGAGCUCUGUGUAGGUGACUGUUUAGCUGACUUUUGCACACAGUCCGAGCAGCUCUACAGCUUUAUGACCCCAACAUUGGACUGUGUGAGUUCUCGGGCCCCAGCUUCUAGGGGCACUUAGCCCACCAUCUCUGGAACUUCUCUGGAUGCUGGCAGCAGGGUCACAGUGAUUGUAAGAGA